UCUUCGUUCUCAUUCCUUGGCUGUUUAGGCGAGGGGAGUUUCAUACUUUGAAAAUGGAAUUUUGUGCACAUCUAAGACUAGAUGUUUCCUUCCAGUGGUAUGUGCCUCAUGGAGCAUGAUGUCUUACCUAACUGCUCUCCAUAUAGGUAUAAUUUGAAUUGAAAUAUUAAAGAAUGCUGUAGCACGGGCAAAGCAUUAUCUGGAAUGGCUUUUCGGUUCAAUGUAAUUGGAGCGAUCGUGUUAAGGUGACUUCGUAUAAAUGUACACUAUUGUGGCCUUGCUGCUCAGGCAGACCAGAUGAGAUGGCUUUUACAGGACUGAUUCUUGCAAAAUGAUCUACACCAGAUUUUUCUAUAAGGGUCUAUCUUUAAAGUGGUCACACUUCACAAUAAAGAUUCUUGUCCUGUUUUAAUGGAAAUGACCUGGUUUGUCAUCUUAUGCUGUUGCUGUUUGUAGUAAAAAUUGAUUAAAUGCAUUGGUUGGUCUAAAGAAGUGAUGGAGUGCCAAGGUUCACUGGUCUACAGUACCACUAAUUCUAAAUUAUAUUAUUUAAAUGCUCACUGCAAAAGAGAAAUGACUGAAAAAGAAAGUGGCAGGGCAGUACUUAUUUCAGAAGCAUGCUGCAAUGCUAUAAAGUCAAUAAAAUCUUUAUAUUCUUGA